GCCCGGCUAGCUCAAUCGGUAGAGCGGUGAGUUCAAUUCAUACAAACUAUCCACCUUCAAAAUACUGAUAAUUUCUCAGUGAGACUCUUAUACGAGAGGACACAUCUCAAGGUUGUGGGUUCGACCCCCACGUCGGGCU